AAACAGUGUGUGGUUGAACUGACAACUGGAGAAACAACGAAGUGAGAAGCUAUUCAGAAAAUACCUUGAAGAAGUUAACGCAUAAUUUGGAGUGGAUCACAGACCAACACUACCAUCACGUUGGGUCUGGACUGCGAGUGACCGCUGAUGACGACCCAAUCUGCACCCAUCGCAUCCAUCCGCCAUAACAAAACAGGGCAGGCAUGGAGUAUUGAGGGGGAUCAUCGACAAGGCUGAUUAGCUGUCCUGAG